CACGAAAGCGUGGGGAGCAAACAGGAUUAGAUACCCUGGUAGUCCACGCCGUAAACGAUGAGUACUAAGUGUCGGGUUAAACCGGUACUGAAGUUAACACAUUAAGUACUCCGCCUGAGUAGUACGUACGCAAGUAUGAAACUUAAAGGAAUUGACGGGACUCCGCACAAGCGGUGGAUCAUGUUGUUUAAUUCGAAGAUACCCGAAAAACCUUACCAGGUCUUGACAUGUUUUUGCAAAAUGAUAGUAAUAUCGUGGAGGUUACCAGAAACACAGGUGGUGCAUGGUUGUCGUCAGCUCGUGUCGUGAGAUGUUAGGUUAAGUCCUAAAACGAGCGAAACCCUUAUCGUUAGUUGCCAGCACGUUAUGGUGGGGACUUUAACGAGACUGCCAAUGAUAAAUUGGAGGAAGGUGAGGAUCACGUCAAAUCAGCAUGCCCCUUAUGACCUGGGCUACAAACGUUAUACAAUGGCUGUUACAAAGGUAAACUGAAGA
rnacentral:rRNA from 2 species